GCACCUGCAAGAGACCGAGGCACCUUGGAAAGUCUCCACCAUGAGCUGGACUCCCCUCCUCCUCCUCCUCCUCCUCCUCGCUCUCUGCCCAGGGUCCAGGUCUCAGGCUGUGGUCACUCAGGAGCCCUCAGAGAGCGUGGUCCCAGGCGUGACGGUCACUCUCACCUGCAGCACUAACACUGGAGAGGUCACCAGCGGUCACUACCCGUACUGGAUCCAGCAGAAGCCUGGCCAGGUCCCCAGGACACUCAUUUAUGACACAAGCAAUAAACUCUCCUGGACCCCGGCCCGGUUCUCAGGCUCCAUCCAAGGGGGCAAAGCUGCCCUGACCCUCUCAGGGGCGCAGCCUGAGGACGAGGCCGAGUACUACUGUGCCCUGUGGUACAGCAGCCGUCCCCACAGUGACAGGUCCAAUAAAAGCCGCAGCCACUCCCAUCAGGCGGCAGUGACCUGA